UACGGAGGGGACUAGCGUUGUUCGGAAUUACUGGGCGUAAAGCGCGCGUAGGCGGAUUUGCAAGUCGGGGGUGAAAGCCCGAGGCUCAACCUCGGAACUGCCCUCGAUACUGCAAAUCUCGAGUCCGAGAGAGGUGAGUGGAAUUCCUAGUGUAGAGGUGAAAUUCGUAGAUAUUAGGAAGAACACCAGUGGCGAAGGCGGCUCACUGGCUCGGUACUGACGCUGAGGCGCGAAAGCGUGGGGAGCAAAACAGG
rnacentral:rRNA from 1 species